rnacentral:rRNA from 1 species
AAUGAACGUUGGCGGCGUGGAUUAGGCAUGCAAGUCGUACGGGCCGCAAGGCCAGUGGCGCAAGGGUGAGUAAUGCGACGGUAACCAACCCCAUGGGUGGGUAUAGCCGCGGGAAACUGCGGGUAAUCCCCAGCGACGCAAGCGAUCGGCAUCGAUUGUUUGCCAAAGCUCAGGCGCCGUGGGACGGGCCGUCGUGGUAUUAGGUAGUUGGGGGGGUAACGGCCCACCAAGCCGACGAUGCCUACCGGGCGUGCGAGCGUGGCCCGGCACACUGGGACGGAGACACUGCCAAGACUCCUACGGGAGGCUGCAGUCGAGAAUCUUCGGCAAUGGGCGCAAGCCUGACCGAGCGACGCCGCGUGGAGGAUGAAGGCCUUCGGGUUGUAAACUCCUGUCGAGGGGAAAGAAGGCUCCGCAAGGAGCUUGACUGAUCCCUGGAGGAAGCACGGGCUAAGUUCGUGCCAGCAGCCGCCGUAAGAC